AUCCUAGAAGCGGGGAUGAUACCGCUGUACGCCUAACCAACUAGAGCUAGUCAAAGCUCUACCGAAUGUGAGUGUAUCCAUCAUAUUUUAUAUAAUUUUUUAUACAAGUGUAGAAUAUACUGCACCAUUACUGUUUUUAUUUUAUUUUUCCCAACUUCGACCACCCGGCACUACAAAGAAGAGGACACCUGCCGUAUAUCCUAUAAGCGGGGAUAAUACCGCUGCAAGCUAUCCACACC